rnacentral:rRNA from 2 species
GCUGGCGGCAGGCCUAACACAUGCAAGUCGAACGCCGUAGCAAUACGGAGUGGCAGACGGGUGAGUAACACGUGGGAACAUACCCUUUGGUUCGGAAUAACUCAGGGAAACUUGGGCUAAUACCGGAUACGCCCUACGGGGGAAAGAUUUAUUGCCGAAGGAUUGGCCCGCGUCUGAUUAGCUAGUUGGUGAGGUAAUGGCUCACCAAGGCGACGAUCAGUAGCUGGUCUGAGAGGAUGAUCAGCCACAUUGGGACUGAGACACGGCCCAAACUCCUACGGGAGGCAGCAGUGGGGAAUAUUGGACAAUGGGCGCAAGCCUGAUCCAGCCAUGCCGCGUGAGUGAUGAAGGCCUUAGGGUUGUAAAGCUCUUUUACCUGGGAAGAUAAUGACGGUACCAGGAGAAUAAGCCCCGGCUAACUUCGUGCCAGCAGCCGCGGUAAUACGAAGGGGGCUAGCGUUGUUCGGAUUUACUGGGCGUAAAGCGCACGUAGGCGGAUCUUUAAGUCAGGGGUGAAAUCCCAAGGCUCAACCUUGGAACUGCCUUUGAUACUGGGGAUCUCGAGUCCGGGAGAGGUGAGUGGAACUGCGAGUGUAGAGGUGAAAUUCGUAGAUAUUCGCAAGAACACCAGUGGCGAAGGCGGCUCACUGGCCCGGUACUGACGCUGAGGUGCGAAAGC